rnacentral:rRNA from 1 species
CCUACGGGUGGCAGCAGUGGGGAAUAUUGGGCAAUGGGCGCAAGCCUGACCCAGCAACGCCGCGUGAAGGAAGAAGGCUUUCGGGUUGUAAACUUCUUUUGUCAGGGAAGAGUAGAAGACGGUACCUGACGAAUAAGCCACGGCUAACUACGUGCCAGCAGCCGCGGUAAUACGUAGGUGGCAAGCGUUGUCCGGAUUUACUGGGUGUAAAGGGCGUGUAGCCGGGUUGACAAGUCAGAUGUGAAAUCCUGCGACUUAACCGCAGAACUGCAUUUGAAACUGUUGAUCUUGAGUACUGGAGAGGCAGAUGGAAUUCCUAGUGUAGCGGUGAAAUGCGUAGAUAUUAGGAGGAACACCAGUGGCGAAGGCGGUCUGCUGGACAGCAACUGACGGUGAGGCGCGAAAGCGUGGGGAGCAAACAGGAUUAGAUACCCCGGUAGUC